GUUAUGAGAUGAUCUAAUCACUAAGGUAGAAUUAUCCCUAAUUUGAUUAGGAUUUUGAUCUAAUCAAUUUCUAAUUUGAUUAAAAUUUGAUUAAAAAUUUAUAAAUCUAAUUAGAUUAGAUUUUAUAUAUUUUAUUUGGGCUAAACCAGACGUGAUUUGGUUUGGAUUCAAAUAAGGAAACUUAGAGUCCUUAUUGGAAUAGGACUCUUCUCCCUGCACAAACCCAGAUUGCAUGUCAUAUAUCUCCACACACAAAAUUAUUUUGUAUGAGAUUUUUUGACAUCAAAG
rnacentral:lncRNA from 1 species